rnacentral:lncRNA from 10 species
UAGGAGAUGGGGUCUCACCCUGUCACCCAGGCUUGAGUACAAUAGUGCUAUCACAGCUCACUGCAGCCUUGAACUCCUGGGCUAAGGAUCCUCCUACCUGAGCCUCCUGAAUAGCUAGGACUGGUCUCCCUCUGUUGUCCAAGGCUGGAGUGUAGUAGUGCUAUCGCAGCUGACUGCAGCCUCAACCUUCCAGGCUGAAGCGAUCCUCCCAUCUCAACCUCCCACGUGGCUGAGACUACAGGUGCUUGCCACUAUGCCCAACUAAUAUUUGGAAUUUUCGUAUACGUGGAUUCCAGAGGGGUGACAGCAAAACGUGGGACCAUCCAGUUGCAGGAAAACAAGCUUAACAUGCCCACUGAUUCUACAUUAUG